rnacentral:misc_RNA from 1 species
GGUGGUGGUCUUCCCGUCGGUGCAUAUGGAGGACGAAGAGAGAUCAUGGAAAUGGUGGCACCAGCAGGACCAAUGUACCAGGCAGGUACCUUGAGCGGUAAUCCUUUAGCAAUGACAGCAGGGAUACACACGCUAAAGCGAUUGAAAGAACCGGGAACCUAUGAAUAUCUAGACAAGAUCACAAGUGAACUUGUUGAAGGUUUGGUGGCUGCUGGGAAGAGGGCCGGGCAUGCAAUAUGUGGAGGGUACAUAAAUGGGAUGUUUGGGUUUUUCUUCACUGAUGGCCCUGUUCACAACUUUGAAGAUGCUAAAAAGAGUGACACUGCCAAAUUUGGCAGGUUUUAUAGGGGAAUGUUGGAGCAAGGUGUAUACUUUGCCCCUUCACAGUUUGAGGCAGGGUUUACCAGCUUGGCACAUACUUCUGAAGAUAUUCAACAUACUAUAGCAGCAGCUGAGAAGGUUUUCAAGCAAAUUUAGUUUAGAUGUUUUGUUGCCCCUUUCACUUUUUUCAAUGUCCACCUUAUGAAAAUUUUUCCUGUAUCAUUUUGG